AACGAACGCUGGCGGCAGGCCUAACACAUGCAAGUCGAGCGCCCCGCAAGGGGAGCGGCGGACGGGUGAGUAACGCGUGGGAACGUGCCCCAAGGUACGGAAUAGCCCCGGGAAACUGGGGGUAAUACCGUAUGUGCCCUACGGGGGAAAGAUUUAUCGCCUUGGGAUCGGCCCGCGUUGGAUUAGGUAGUUGGUGGGGUAAUGGCCUACCAAGCCGACGAUCCAUAGCUGGCUUGAGAGGAUGAUCAGCCACACUGGGACUGAGACACGGCCCAGACUCCUACGGGAGGCAGCAGUGGGGAAUCUUAGACAAUGGGCGCAAGCCUGAUCUAGCCAUGCCGCGUGAGCGAUGAAGGCCUUAGGGUUGUAAAGCUCUUUCAGGGGGGAAGAUAAUGACUGUACCCCCAGAAGAAGCCCCGGCUAACUCCGUG
rnacentral:rRNA from 1 species